GAUGAACGCUGGCGGCGUGCUUAACACAUGCAAGUCGAACGAAGAAGCCCCGCUUGCUUGGUGGAUUAGUGGGGAACGGGUGAGUAACACGUGUGAAACCUGCCCUUAACCCUGGGAUAAGCCUUGGAAACUGGGUCUAAUAACGGAUAGGAGCGUCCACCGCAUGGUGUGUGUUGGAAAUAUUUAGCGGUUUUGGAUAGAAUAGCGGCUUAUCAGCUUGUUGGUGGGGUAAUGGGUCACCAAAGCGAGGACGGGUAGCCGGCCUGAGAGGGUGACCGGCCACAUAGGGACUGAGGGUCGGGCCAGACUCCGACGGGAGGCAGCAGUGGGGAAUAUUGAACAAUGGGAGCAAGCCUGAGGCAGCGACGCCGCGUGGGGGAUGACGGCCUUCGGGUUGUAAACCUCUUUCCAUUGUGAAGAAGCGACAGUGACGUUACCUGGUGAAGAAGCACCGGCUAACUACGUG
rnacentral:rRNA from 1 species